rfam:Gossypium raimondii scaffold_1022_contig_2, whole genome shotgun sequence.
GGGUGCGAUCAUACCAGCACUAAUGCACCCGAUCCCAUCAGAACUCUGCAGUUAAUCGUGCCUGGGCGAGAGUAGUAAUAGGAUGGGUGACCUCCCGGGAAGUCCUCGUGUUGCACCCC